rnacentral:rRNA from 1 species
AACUAACGCUGGGCGGCGUGCCUAACACAUGCAAGUCGUACGAGAAAGUUGGCUUCGGCCGAUGAGUAAAGUGGCGCACGGGUGAGUAAUGCGUGGAUAAUCUGCCCUUUAGUUGGGAAUAACGUACCGAAAGGUGCGCUAAUACCUGAUAAUACUGCAUAACUACUGUUGUGUAGUCAAAGAAGGCCUCUGUUUACAAGCUUUUGCUGAAGGAUGAGUCCGCGUACCAUUAGCUGGUUGGUGGGGUAAUGGCCUACCAAGGCUACGAUGGUUAGCCGGCCUGAGAGGGUGGACGGCCACACUGGGACUGAGACACGGCCCAGACUCCUACGGGAGGCAGCAGUGGGGAAUAUUGGAACAAUGGGCGAAAGCCUGAUCCAGCCAUGCCGCGUGAGUGAUGAAGGCCUUAGGGUUGUAAAGCUCUUUUGUCCGGGAAGAUAAUGACGGUACCGGAAGAAUAAGCCCCGGCUAACUUCGUG